rnacentral:misc_RNA from 1 species
GAUGAAGAGGGUCUACUCUACAAUAUAAAGCAACUCGAUUUCACUCAAGGAAGUGGUAUUUUCCUGAAGAUAAAUAUUUGAAACAUUUUUUACUUGACUAGAAUUCGUAUGAAUGCUAUGAAGACGAAUACAUAUAUUUAGUGGUGCUAUUGCUAAUCAAUCACUGGAAAGAGUGUGGCAGCACUCAAAAGACACUUCUGAGAUAAGAGGUAGUGAAGAAGAAGUGUAAAAGCUCGUGUUGGCAUAUUAUCCCGACAGCAUGGAUGGGAACUCUUUUUGGGUUGAAGAAGUCAAGGAUCAGUUACCUAAUUCUUUGAAAAGUAAGAGAAAUGUCAAGAUCAAGAAACUAGAGUUUGUUGGAUGGGGAUCCAAACCAUUGAUUGAAUUCCUUCAAUCAAUUGGUAAAGAUACAAG